CCUACGGGAGACUGCAGUGAGGAAUAUUGGUCAAUGGGCGAGAGCCUGAACCAGCCAAGUCGCGUGAAGGAUGACGGCCCUACGGGUUGUAAACUUCUUUUGUCAGGGCGCAACUGGGUCCACGCGUGGGCUUAGCGAGAGCACCUGAAGAAAAAGCAUCGGCAAACUCCGUGCCAGCAGCCGCGGUAAUACGGGGGAUGCGAGCGUUAUCCGGAUUUAUUGGGUUAAAAGGGUGCGUAGGCGGAAUAUCAAGUCAGCGGUAAAAAUUCGGGGCUAAACCCCGUCGUGCCGUUGAAACUGAUGUUCUUGAGUGGGCGAGAGGUAGGCGGAAUGCGGGGUGUAGCGGUGAAAUGCAUAGAUAUAACGAAGAACUCCGGUGGCGAAGGCAGCAUGCCGGCGACCAACUGACGCUGAGGCACGAAAGCGUGGGUAGCGAACAGGAUUAGAUACCCGUGUAGUC
rnacentral:rRNA from 1 species